rnacentral:rRNA from 1 species
GACGAACGCUGGCGGCGUGCUUAACACAUGCAAGUCGAACGGAAAGGCCCUGCUUUUGUGGGGUGCUCGAGUGGCGAACGGGUGAGUAACACGUGAGUAACCUGCCCUUGACUUUGGGAUAACUUCAGGAAACUGGGGCUAAUACCGGAUAGGAGCUCCUGCUGCAUGGUGGGGGUUGGAAAGUUUCGGCGGUUGGGGAUGGACUCGCGGCUUAUCAGCUUGUUGGUGGGGUAGUGGCUUACCAAGGCUUUGACGGGUAGCCGGCCUGAGAGGGUGACCGGCCACAUUGGGACUGAGAUACGGCCCAGACUCCUACGGGAGGCAGCAGUGGGGAAUAUUGCACAAUGGGCGGAAGCCUGAUGCAGCAACGCCGCGUGCGGGAUGACGGCCUUCGGGUUGUAAACCGCUUUCGCCUGUGACGAAGCGUGAGUGACGGUAAUGGGUAAAGAAGCACCGGCUAACUACGUGCCAGCAGCCGCGGUGAUACGUAGGGUGCGAGCGUUGUCCGGAUUUAUUGGGCGUAAAGGGCUCGUAGGUGGUUGAUCGCGUCGGAAGUGUAAUCUUGGGGCUUAACCCUGAGCGUGCUUUCGAUACGGGUUGACUUGAGGAAGGUAGGGGAGAAUGGAAUUCCUGGUGGAGCGGUGGAAUGCGCAGAUAUCAGGAGGAACACCAGUGGCGAAGGCGGUUCUCUGGGCCUUUCCUGACGCUGAGGAGCGAAAGCGUGGGGAGCGAACAGGCUUAGAUAUCCUGGUAGUCCACGCUGUAAACGGUGGGUACUAGGUGUGGGGUCCAUUCCACGGGUUCCGUGCCGUAGCUAACGCUUUAAGUACCCCGCCUGGGGAGUACGGCCGCAAGGCUAAAACUCAAAGGAAUUGACGGGGCCCCGCACAAGCGGCGGAGCAUGCGGAUUAAUUCGAUGCAACGCGUAGAACCUUACCUGGGUUUGACAUGGAUCGGGAGCGCUCAGAGAUGGGUGUGCCUCUUUUGGGGUCGGUUCACAGGUGGUGCAUGGCUGUCGUCAGCUCGUGUCGUGAGAUGUUGGGUUAAGUCCCGCAACGAGCGCAACCCUUGUUCACUGUUGCCAGCACGUUAUGGUGGGGACUCAGUGGAGACCGCCGGGGUCAACUCGGAGGAAGGUGGGGAUGACGUCAAGUCAUCAUGCCCCUUAUGUCCAGGGCUUCACGCAUGCUACAAUGGCUGGUACAGAGAGUGGCGAGCCUGUGAGGGUGAGCGAAUCUCGGAAAGCCGGUCUCAGUUCGGAUUGGGGUCUGCAACUCGACCUCAUGAAGUCGGAGUCGCUAGUAAUCGCAGAUCAGCAACGCUGCGGUGAAUACGUUCCCGGG